GCUCAAAUUUGAAAUCUGGUACCUUCGGUGCCCGAGUUGUAAUUUGUAGAAGGUAACUUUGGGGCUGGUCCUUGUCUAUGUUCCUUGGAACAGGACGUCAUAGAGGGUGAGAAUCCCGUGUGGCGAGGAUCCCAGUUCUAUGUAAAGUGCUUUCGAAGAGUCGAGUUGUUUGGGAAUGCAGCUCUAAGUGGGUGGUAAAUUCCAUCUAAAGCUAAAUAUUGGCGAGAGACCGAUAGCGAACAAGUACAGUGAUGGAAAGAUGAAAAGAACUUUGAAAAGAGAGUGAAAAAGUACGUGAAAUUGUUGAAAGGGAAGGGCAUUUGAUCAGACAUGGUGUUUUGCGCCCUCUGCUCCUCGUGGGUGGGGGAAUCUCGCAGCUCACUGGGCCAGCAUCAGUUUUGGCGGUAGGAUAAAUCUGCAGGAAUGUAGCUUGCUUCGGCAAGUGUUAUAGCCUGUUGAAAUACUGCCAGCCGGGACUGAGGACUGCGACUUUUAGUCAAGGAUGCUGGCAUAAUGGUUAUAUGCCG
rnacentral:rRNA from 1 species